GAUCCUGACUCACUUUUCAUCUUCGUUCGUUAUUUAAAUGUGUUUAUGUAACAAAACUCAUAUGGAUAAAAAGUUAAUGUUUCAAUAAUGUACGUAACAUGUAAAGAACUAAAGCAAGCAUAAUUUUGUCCACACGAUCGUCGUAUAUGAAGUCUUAUUUCUAAAAGAAAGGUAAUUUUACGUAAGUUAACCGAGAUUUGUAUUUACAUUUCUAACUUAGCAAAUUUGAUACCGAAGCAUUGCGUAGUAUGAAGUAUGACUAUAAACAAAUCAAUGUUUAUUUCCAUUCCAAAUGAAAAUCGUUUGAAUGAUUCUAUAAGUGACUUUUAAAGCUAUAUUUAAUACCACGACUGGAAAGUAGGUUUCAUUUUUUUUUUCAAAUUAUCCACUAUAAAAAUUGCGGCUCUUACACGAAGAAAAGGUUUGAUAAUAAAUAAUUCUGAGUCAGUGAUGCGCUUGACAUUCACAAA